AGUGAACGCUGGCGGUAGGCCUAACACAUGCCAGUCGAACGGCAGCACAGUAAGAGCUUGCUCUUACGGGUGGCGAGUGGCGGACGGGUGAGGAAUACAUCGGAAUCUACUUUUUCGUGGGGGAUAACGUAGGGAAACUUACGCUAAUACCGCAUACGACCUACGGGUGAAAGCAGGGGAUCUUCGGACCUUGCGCGAUUGAAUGAGCCGAUGUCGGAUUAGCUAGUUGGCGGGGUAAAGGCCCACCAAGGCGACGAUCCGUAGCUGGUCUGAGAGGAUGAUCAGCCACACUGGAACUGAGACACGGUCCAGACUCCUACGGGAGGCAGCAGUGGGGAACAUUGGACAAUGGGCGCAAGCCUGAUCCAGCCAUACCGCGUGGGUGAAGAAGGCCUUCGGGUUGUAAAGCCCUUUUGUUGGGAAAGAAAAGCAGCAGGUUAAUACCCCGCUGUUCUGACGGUGCCCAAAGAAUAAGCACCGGCUAACUUCGUG
rnacentral:rRNA from 1 species